rnacentral:rRNA from 1 species
GACGAACGCUGGCGGCGUGCUUAACACAUGCAAGUCGAGCGGUAAGGCCCUUUCGGGGGUACACGAGCGGCGAACGGGUGAGUAACACGUGGGUGACCUGCCCUUAGCUCUGGGAUAAGCCUGGGAAACUGGGUCUAAUACCGGAUAUGACCCCAUGACGCAUGUUGUGGGGUGGAAAGCCUUGUGCGGCUAGGGAUGGGCCCGCGGCCUAUCAGCUUGUUGGUGGGGUGAUGGCCUACCAAGGCGACGACGGGUAGCCGGCCUGAGAGGGCGACCGGCCACACUGGGACUGAGACACGGCCCAGACUCCUACGGGAGGCAGCAGUGGGGAAUCUUGCGCAAUGGGCGAAAGCCUGACGCAGCGACGCCGCGUGAGGGAUGACGGCCUCGGUU